ACACCUACGGAACAGGCCA
rnacentral:snRNA from 1 species